GAUCCCUGUCGCGAGGAUGAAUGGGGAACUGAUGGCAAAGCUACGAAGACUUAACACUGGCAGCAAGCAUGCGAUAAGAACAGACUGAGCGCUAUCGCUGGCGUUCUUUUGUUUUUUCAGCCAGUUCCCGCAGCCCGCGGCGACAGAUAGCUGCUCGCUAGAUGCGCUACAAAUCCUGGCCUAUAGAAACCCAUCCUGGGGCUAUUAAAGCCUGCGGCAGGUAGCGCAGAAAGCAUCACCGCAACGCUGCUUAGGCGGCAAACGUGACCUUCAGGAUUCCGGGGCUAUUCCCUUCGUUUUUGCGUGAUCUGUCGACUGUGUGCCGGCUUUUCCUCCCCGAGGUGUUUGUUCGAAGUCUUUCGCGGUGCUGUCCGAACGGAUGCUCCAGCUUCAUCCUCCUCCAUCGCUCCCUUCUCCCUGCGUUCCGCAAAUGAUCGAUCACGACCACGUGGAAGAGAACAACUUUCCGAAAAGGUGGAAACGACGAGUCGAAUUGACGACGACAAGACACGUCGAUGACAACAGCGGUCAUCGUUGGUCAAUGGAAUGGACGUACAGACAGGCGGACGGACGGACGGACCGACAAACAUGCCCCACUGCAGCCGACUCACCACUGUGCAAGCAAUCAGAAAAGGCCUCUGAGCCUUACCUGGAAUACAUUGAACGGAUCAGAGGUCAGGUCCAUGCUGCCGUUGCUUGGGAUCAGAGGGAAGUGUGCGCUGUGUUGGUGGGUUUAGAGCGAAAUCGUCUAAGUGAACCAAUUCAAGAUAGGGAACAGAAAUACGUCACUGUGUAAUGAAAGUAGCUGGCCUCUUUCUCACGGCCUAUACAUCGCUGAUAAGCUUGUAAUGCUCGUCCUGCUUGAGAGGAAAGUGUACAUAGCGCAUGUGCCACAUUCAGGUACCUUUCCUCUUGAUUCAUCCACUGCUUUC